rnacentral:tRNA from 1 species
GGCGGUUUGGUGGAGUGGUCUAACACGCCAGACUGUGAGUACCACCAUAUCAAACACUUCUGAAUUACAAUACUAAUCCCUUUCCAGUGAACUACUCAGCUUGAGUGAUCUGGUCCUUUCGAGGGCGCAGGUUCGAACCCUGCAACCGUCG